rnacentral:rRNA from 1 species
AUUGAACGCUGGCGGCAGGCCUAACACAUGCAAGUCGAGCGGAUGACGGGAGCUUGCUCCUUGAUUCAGCGGCGGACGGGUGAGUAAUGCCUAGGAAUCUGCCUGGUAGUGGGGGACAACGUUUCGAAAGGAACGCUAAUACCGCAUACGUCCUACGGGAGAAAGCAGGGGACCUUCGGGCCUCGCGCUAUCAGAUGAGCCUAGGUCGGAUUAGCUAGUUGGUGGGGUAAUGGCUCACCAAGGCGACGAUCCGUAACUGGUCUGAGAGGAUGAUCAGUCACACUGGAACUGAGACACGGUCCAGACUCCUACGGGAGGCAGCAGUGGGGAAUAUUGGACAAUGGGCGAAAGCCUGAUCCAGCCAUGCCGCGUGUGUGAAGAAGGUCUUCGGAUUGUAAAGCACUUUAAGUUGGGAGGAAGGGCAGUAAGCUAAUACCUUGCUGUUUUGACGUUACCGACAGAAUAAGCACCGGCUAACUCUGUGCCAGCAGCCGCAGUAAAAC